GACAGAGGUGCCAAGCGUUAGGCGGAAUCACUGGGCUUAAAGCGUGUGUAGGCGGAUUUGUAAGUGCUUUGUGAAAUCCCACGGCUCAACCGUGGAACUGCUUGGCAUACUGCGAAUCUUGAGCCACUUAGGGGCUACCGGAACAAAUGGUGGAGCGGUGAAAUGCGUAGAUAUCAUUUGGAACGCCAAUGGUGAAAAACAGGUAGCUGGGAGUGUGCUGACGCUGAGACACGAAAGCCAGGGGAGCGAACGGG
rnacentral:rRNA from 1 species